rnacentral:rRNA from 1 species
CACGUAGGGCGCAAGCGUUGUCCGGAAUCAUUGGGCGUAAAGAGCGUGUAGGCGGCUUGGAAAGUCUUACGUGAAAGCCUGCGGCUCAACCGCAGAAGUGCGUAGGAAACUUCCUCGCUAGAGUCCGGAAGAGGAGAGCGGAAUUCCUGGUGUAGCGGUGGAAUGCGCAGAUAUCAGGAGGAACACCCGUGGCGAAGGCGGCUCUCUGGGACGGUACUGACGCUGAGACGCGAAAGCGUGGGUAGCAAACAGG